GUCUAUAUGAAGUUAUAUGAAGUCUAGCCUGCCCAUUGAAUAAUUUUAAAAGGCCGCGGUAUAUUAACUGUGCAAAGGUAGCAUAAUCAUUAGUUUUUUAAUUGAAGGCUCGUAUGAAGGGUUGGACAAAGAAAGAUCUGUUUUUAUUUUUAUUUUUGAAUUUGACUUUUAAGUGAAAAGGCUUAAAUAAAUUUAAGGGACGAUAAGACCCUAUAAAUCUUUAUAUUAAUUAUUUUAUUAGUUAAUAGGUAGAUAGAUAAUAAAAUAAAAUAUUGUGUUGGGGUGAUAAGAAUAUAAAAUAACUGUUCUAAAAUAAAACAAAGUUAUUUGUGUGAGUAGUGGAUCCUUUGUUGAGAUCAAAAGUUUAAGUUACUUUAGGGAUAACAGCGUUAUUUUUUUUGAGAGUUCUUAUCGAAAAAAAAGUUUGCGACCUCGAUGUUGAAUUAAAAUUUCUUUGUGGUGUAGUAGCUAUAAGA
rnacentral:rRNA from 1 species